GCUCAUGAUCCUUUAGCAAAAUCAAAUGGUCACCCAUCUUUUCCAGAUGAAUUGACAGAACCUGGUCUACCAUAUCAGAGUGAUAAUAAGUUGCACCCUUUUGGCUUGUUCUGGUCUGAACUGCUUGAAGGCUCUCAAUCUCAAACUAGACAAAUUGAGUCAUCUGAUAUGCCUUCCACUGUGGGAAGACCCGCGGCAUUUGGUGCUAUGCCUGAUCGAGCUGCUGUGGCAGAGAAAUGGUCUGAUGUUUAUGGACAAGAGAUGCUUUCUGUUCCCAACUCAUUUCAAGAUGCCACUGCUGCUCGCCAUUUGUCACGUGUUGAACAAGAGCCUAAUCAUUUUGACCUAGCAGAGCAGCUUAUGUCACGACAAUUCCAGCAGCAGCAGCAGCUCCAACAACGAAAUAUGCUAUCUCAUUCACACUUGAAUGACUCACUCCUAGAACAUGUGACAGGUCAGAAUCUUAUUCACCAUCGGCAGUUGGCCAACCAUCCCGUGCCAGAUGUGGAACAUCUUUUGGCACUUCAGCUGCAGCAACAGCGGCAGCUUCAGCUCCAACAACAACA
rnacentral:misc_RNA from 1 species